CGGGGUUCGAUUCCCCGCCGGAGAGAUUCUUA
rnacentral:sRNA from 1 species